GACGUUUAUUCGCUCUCUCUCGCGCGUUCUUCUCUCGGAUGAGUCCAGUGGUUGACUUGCUGAAGCAGAACGUCCUCUGCAUUAUGGAAGAUGAUAUGUUAGAAAUGCUUCUUUAGUAUCUACUUAUUGGUAUAGUGCUGUCCCUUAAGUCUUGCCCUGGUUAUUAGUUAAGUAGUUAACAGUAGCUACUUUGGAGCAUGGGGACUUGCAGAACCAUGCACGUGGGCAACUCUGAACGUUUUGAAACCAUGCCGUGCUGUCUGUACCUGGCUUAUGUGGACUGAACUGAAGCCGUACACGCCAAUGACUGCGCACAUGGCAGACGCUGCCUUGAUGACUUGAUUUUAAAGUAGACUUAACCUCGAAAGGUGUGGAACUGAAUCAAGGAUGUGGCUGGAGUGGAGACAUCAUCUUUAAAGGUGUGCAACAGAACCAAGGAUGUGGAUGGUGUGGAGGCAUCUGAAAAGGUUGGGAGACUACUCCCUCCUGGCCUGUGGCUGAACCAUACACAUGAAGCCAUACACACGGCAAG